CAUGUCCUUUUGAUUAUAAUUUAAGGUCUAAUCUGCUCAAUGAAUAUUAAAUUGCCGCGGUAUUUUGACCGUGCGAAGGUAGCAUAAUAAUUAGUUUUUUUAUUGAAAGCUGGAAUGAAUGAUUGGACGAGAAAGCGACUGUCUCUGGAUAAAUUUUUAUUGAAUUUAACUUUUCAGUUAAAAGGCUGAAAUUUUUUUGAAAGACGAGAAGACCCCAUAGAGUUUAAUAUUUUGUUAUGUUUCGGUCUUUAGGUUAUUAGUAGUCGGGAUUUUUUCUUAAUAUUUAGUUGGGGUGACUAGAAGAUUUACUAAACUCUUUUAUAAAUUAAUCAAUGAUUUUUGAAUGUUUAAUCUAGUUUUAUCUAAAUUUAGACUAAAUUACCUUGGGGAUAACAGCGUAAUUUCUUUUUAGAGUUCUUAUUGAAAAGGAAGUUUGCGACCUCGAUGUUGGAUUAAAAUUAAUUUUUGGUGCAGAAGCUGAAAAUAUUAGGUCUGUUCGACCUUUAAAAUUUUACAUGAUCUGAGU
rnacentral:rRNA from 1 species